UACGUAGGGGGCAAGCGUUAUCCGGAUUUACUGGGUGUAAAGGGGGCGCAGACGGCGAUGCAAGCCAGGAGUGAAAGGCGGGGGCCCAACCCCCGGACUGCUUUGGAAACUGUAUGGCUGGAGUGCAGGAGAGGUAAGUGGAAUUCCUAGUGUAGCGGUGAAAUGCGUAGAUAUUAGGAGGAACACCAGUGGCGAAGGCGGCUUACUGGACUGUAACUGACGUUGAGGCUCGAAAGCGUGGGGAGCAAACAGG
rnacentral:rRNA from 1 species